rnacentral:rRNA from 1 species
CAGCCGCCACGGUAAUACGAAGGGGGCUAGCGUUGUUCGGAUUUACUGGGCGUAAAGCGCACGUAGGCGGAUCGAUCAGUCAGGGGUGAAAUCCCAGAGCUCAACUCUGGAACUGCCUUUGAUACUGUCGAUCUGGAGUAUGGAAGAGGUGAGUGGAAUUCCGAGUGUAGAGGUGAAAUUCGUAGAUAUUCGGAGGAACACCAGUGGCGAAGGCGGCUCACUGGUCCAUUACUGACGCUGAGGUGCGAAAGCGUGGGGAGCAAACAGGAUUAGAUACCCCCGUAGUCCCUGUCUCUUAUAC